UUUACGAACGGUUCGUUUGUUGACGAUUUCGCGUGUAGUCCGUGUUGUCGUCCAUACGCAUUCGCAAGUCGCACGCUAACCUCGCCUUCGGUGUGUUCGGCGGUAUUCGUUACGUACAGAGUUACGAAAAUUACAAAUAUUUGCUAGUAAUUAAAAAUAAAAAAUAAAAAAGUGUUUGCAAAAUAAGUAAUUUGUGGAAAAAAGUGUAAAAGUUAAAUACUUAGUGCGCGUUUAUUUCGCCAUUUGAAACCUUAAUCGGUGCAGAGCAGUCGGAUUUUUGGUGACUUCGUCUUUUAACGUAACGAAAAGUUUUUGUUUCUAUAUUUUUUUUUUGUUGCACAUUUCGUGGCGGUCCACAGUCAACGCAAAUCCAUUUGUAAGCCAUCAUUCGCCAAACCGAGCGUAGUGUAGUUUGCAAAUUUCUCGUAUCCGUCUACUCUGAUUGCAUCGGCAUCGUCAUUUGGUCGUAUCGUCAUUUCGUCACUUGAACGCUGUCGUUUUCGUUUCUGCCCAAAUUUUUUCGUGUGCUAGUGCGUGCCAAUAAUUGUGUUUGUAAUUUCAAUAUCAACAUCCGCAUAAGCGCUACCAGAAAACGAACUUCUGCUUUCAAAUGCAUUAAGUAAUCGAGUCUCGAGGCAUCGUAAUCGAACAAUUGCUUUUGUAAGAAGAAAGCAAAACAAGCCCAAAAAUAUAAAUUAAACAAACAGCAAACCAAAAUUCUCAGUGUUCAAAAACAAAAAGUUUCAAAAGUAAAUAAAUAAAUAAACAGCAAAGAAAAUUUCCACACACAAAACUUUUGUCGCCUGUCAAUCGUAUAAGAAAAAUACUAAUGAAACAAACAACAAAGUGAGAAAGUAAAAAAAUAAAAAAAAAAGCAGCUGCACAAGCAAGCAAAAACACAAACCUCAGGCCUUGUGCAGAACAGAAGUUUGAUAACAACAACAAUUGCCGGUAAUAGUGUACGAGUACAUGCAGAAAUUGCAAGACAAUAAGUGAAAAAGCGGAAGUAAACUCCGCAGCUCAAUCAAUUUUUUUCGUGGCUUUUUUGUUUAUUUCUUUUUUUGUUUUCGUAUUUUAUUGGCUGCUGCCAUUUCGCUGCCAAUCAGCCUACUUGCGUAGAGACACCCAUAUAUCCACACAAAGAAGCCAGCGUGUGACUCCUGCGUGCGCCUAAACUUCAAUUGUGUGCCAACUGCAGCGGACUCAAUAAAAUCAACAACGUGACUUCAAAAGUGAAAAAAAAUUAGAUCGAAAUAUGUUCGCGAAAUGUCAAAGUAUGAAACUUGCGCGAUAAUAGAGAAAUAAAUAAGCGUCGCAAAACAAACACACAAAUUUUCUGCGAUUUGCUGUGCUAUAUAUUUUAACAACAACAACAAAGCGCGUUGAAUUCAAUAUUUGUGCUUGAUUAGCGUCAAAUCGGCUGGGCAUAGAACAAAAAGAAAAAAACAGCAAAAGCAAGCGUAAAAUAAGCAAAAGCAAAACCAAAUGCGAAAAGGCAAAAGCAAGCAAAGAAAAAUUGUAAAAAAUCAUUAAAAAGUGUUUUAGAAAGCGCUUUCACGUGCUCGUGCCCUACCAUUGCACGUGCACCGGCACCUGCAACUACUCUAAAUCGGUCGUUCGCUAGUUUUUUUUCUCAAAAAUUGUAUUUUUUUGCUUUCUGCGUCCGUUCACCACCGCUCUUGUGCUCCAACAACAACAACAGCUAGCCAAAAUUCGCUACACCUUUUACGCAUAAAUUGUUGUCGCUGUUUUUUUUUGCAUUUUUUCUACUCUGCAUUGCUAAUAAACUUUUCCUGCAUCGAAUUGGCUUUUGCAUGCCACAUACAUACUAAAUACCUAUUUGCUGCAGCAGUGAGUGAGACAGCUCAGCUACGCGCUUGAACAUUUCAACAUUUAACCAGGUGGGCUCUCAGAAUGCGCCAUGAAUAUUUAAUCGGUUUUGCUUAUGAAUGCAGUUAUUAGUUUAUUUCAAUUGAGGUA